rnacentral:rRNA from 1 species
UACGUAGGGUGCAAGCGUUGCCCGGAUUUAUUGGGCGUAAAGCGUGCGCAGGCGGUUUUGUAAGUCUGUCGUGAAAGCCCCGGGCUCAACCUGGGAAUUGCGAUGGAGACUGCAAGGCUUGAAUCUGGCAGAGGGGGGUAGAAUUCCACGUGUAGCAGUGAAAAUGCGUAGAGUAUGCGGAGGAACACCGAUGGCGAAGGCAAUCUCCUGGGCCUGUACUGACGCUCAUGCACGAA